rnacentral:lncRNA from 1 species
ACCUAAAAUCAAGGCCACCAGAGCUAUGGUCCUUUUCACAGCUUUUCCACAAUAGUUGAUCGCAACUAGGUGUGAAAUUGCAUGUAAAGAGAACAACAACUGGCUGGGGUUUUCACGAUAGCCAAACUGGAAUUAGUCCAGACGUGACACCGCUACACAACCCCUCUAAUUCUAUGUUACACUCAGACCCGGGUAUAGUGUCCCAUUCAUGAUAUGCACAGUAAUAAUAAUGAGAAUAAAAGCAUACAAAAUGAAUUACAAGAAUAAAUAAAGAUAAUCAUAUAUAAUAAAGAAAGGAAAAUAAAAAAAAAAUAAAAAUAAAAAAAUAAAACUAGAAUAAAAAAAGAAAAACCACAUCAAUUUUGAACAUUUAAUUAAUAAGGCUUGAUUCUCUAUGCAAUCCCCAG